UACGUAGGGUGCAAGCGUUGUCCGGAAUUAUUGGGCGUAAAGAGCUCGUAGGCGGUCUGUCGCGUCGGCUGUGAAAACCCGGGGCUCAACCCCGGGCCUGCAGUCGAUACGGGCAGACUAGAGUGUGGUAGGGGAGACUGGAAUUCCUGGUGUAGCGGUGGAAUGCGCAGAUAUCAGGAGGAACACCGAUGGCGAAGGCAGGUCUCUGGGCCACUACUGACGCUGAGAAGCGAAAGCAUGGGGAGCGAACAGG
rnacentral:rRNA from 1 species